UACGAAGGGGGCUAGCGUUGUUCGGAAUUACUGGGCGUAAAGCGCACGUAGGCGGGUCGUUAAGUCAGGGGUGAAAUCCCGGAGCUCAACUCCGGAACUGCCUUUGAUACUGGCGAUCUAGAGAUCGGAAGAGGUGAGUGGAAUUCCCAGUGUAGAGGUGAAAUUCGUAGAUAUUGGGAAGAACACCAGUGGCGAAGGCGGCUCACUGGUCCGAUACUGACGCUGAGGUGCGAAAGCGUGGGGAGCAAACAGGAUUAGAAACCCCCGUAGUCC
rnacentral:rRNA from 1 species